AGAGUUUGAUCCUGGCUCAGGACGAACGCUGGCGGCGUGCCUAACACAUGCAAGUCGAGCGAGGUGUAUACACCUAGCGGCGGACGGGUGAGUAACACGUGGGUAACCUGCCUCAGAGAGGGGAAUAGCCUUCCGAAAGGAAGAUUAAUACCGCAUAAUAUACGCAUUUAGCAUUACAAGCGUAUCAAAGGAGAAAUCCGCUUUGAGAUGGGCCCGCGGCGCAUUAGCUAGUUGGAGAGGUAACGGCUCACCAAGGCGACGAUGCGUAGCCGACCUGAGAGGGUGAUCGGCCACAUUGGAACUGAGACACGGUCCAGACUCCUACGGGAGGCAGCAGUGGGGAAUAUUGCACAAUGGGGGAAACCCUGAUGCAGCAACGCCGCGUGAAUGAUGAAGGCCUUCGGGUCGUAAAGUUCUUUGAUUGGGGACGAUAAUGACGGUACCCAAAAAACAAGCCAUGGCUAACUACGUGCCAGCAGCCGCGGUAAUACGUAGGUGGCGAGCGUUGUCCGGAUUUACUGGGCGUAAAGGAUGCGUAGGUGGAAAUUUAAGUGGGAUGUGAAAUCCCCGGGCUCAACCCGGGAACUGCAUUCCAAACUGGGUUUCUUGAGUGCAGGAGAGGAAAGCGGAAUUCCUAGUGUAGCGGUGAAAUGCGUAGAUAUUAGGAAGAACACCAGUGGCGAAGGCGGCUUUCUGGACUGUAACUGACACUGAGGCAUGAAAGCGUGGGGAGCAAACAGGAUUAGAUACCCUGGUAGUCCACGCCGUAAACGAUGGGUACUAGGUGUAGGGGGUAUCAACUCCCCCUGUGCCGUCGUUAACACAAUAAGUACCCCGCCUGGGGAGUACGGUCGCAAGAUUAAAACUCAAAUGAAUUGACGG
rnacentral:rRNA from 2 species